GCCGCAUUCGUCUAGAGGCCUAGGACACCUCCCUCUCAAGGAGGAGAUCGGGGGUUCGAAUCCCCCAUGCGGCACCA
rnacentral:tRNA from 1 species